AUAAUUUUUUUUUUUAAUUUUUAAAGAGCACCAUUGACAUCAAUUUGAAUGCAGAUUACAUGGACACUCAACAUGCUACUUAAACAGAGACAACAUGAUAUCAAGAAUCAAAGCAAUAAUUUAUAUCCUUUUUAUAUUUCCCAAUGAUAAAGGUUUUCCCAUUAAUCAAAAAAGCAAUGUGCCGCCAUAAUCAAAAAAAUCAUCCUCAUUCAUAUAAAUAAUCUCUCUUUGAUUCAUUCUUUUACAUUCUGCAUUAUCAAUGACAUAAAAGAUCAAACUUCAGCAAUAACUUAAACCACAACAAAUAAUCCACAGCACAGCCAAAGCACAAAAAAUAUAUAUAUCUAAGACAUAACAAAAGCAAUGUUAAUAGCUACUUACAUUAAGAAGAGAUCAGGUUUAAAUUCUAAUAACUCCCUUCUUUUAAAAAAGUUUUCAAAUACUAAAAGAAUUUCUUUUAAUUCAUGAAAUUAAAUAUAAAAAAUAAGUGUAAAUUAUGAUAACUCUCUUUUGAGGCUAAGUGAAGCAGACCCUACAAAGUCAUAACAAAGCAAAAAUAAAUAAAUAAAAAAUGAAAGAGCCUAAAAUAAAA
rnacentral:misc_RNA from 1 species